rnacentral:rRNA from 1 species
UACGUAGGAUGCGAGCGUUGUCCGGAAUUAUUGGGCGUAAAGCGAACGUAGGCGGCCAUUUAAGUUUGGUCUUAAAGACCGGGGCUCAACCCCGGGAAUGGACUGAAUACUGGGUGGCUGGAGCGUGCUAGAGGAUGGUGGGAAUUCCAAGUGUAGCGGUGAAAUGCGUAGAUAAUUUGGAGGAACACCGGUGGCGAAAGCGGGGUCUCUGG